AUAUAUCAUCCGUGGGAAGCUCUAGAAUCUUAUUGAGCAUGAUGUUUCACCAGAUUUUAUAUUCAGCACCCUUUUUGAGGAACUGAAGAAACAUUUGGAUGAACAUCUGAAAGCCAAGGUUGAAUUCCUCUAUCAUAAAUACCAAUAUCAACAAGAUUCUGAUAAAUGGAAUGACUCGAAGAAGAACCUCCGUUACUUCAUGAGGAUCGAAGAAUUUACUGCUCAUUUUAAGAGUUUGUACAAGUCAUUCAUCACGAAGAGCGACACCGAACCCAAGCACUGAACAGGUAA